rnacentral:tRNA from 1 species
UGGAUCACCUCCUAACAGGGAGACAACAAAAUGUAAAUAUUAAUUUUGUCACCUUAGGUCGAUCGGUAUCUCAGAUUCUUAUUAUUUAAGAAUUUCAGUUUCUAAGUUUUUUCUAGGUCACACCCAUCACUUUUUCCUGGGCCAUUAGCUCAGGUGGUUAGAGCGCACCCCUGAUAAGGGUGAGGUCCCUGGUUCAAGUCCAGGAUGGCCCAUAUCUCUAUGUUGGGGGUAUAGCUCAGUUGGUAGAGCGCCUGCUUUGCAAGCAGGAUGUCAGCGGUUCGAGUCCGCUUACCUCCACUGAAAACUAUCCUGAUAACUAAAUUCUGGAGAAAAAAUUGUAGAUGUGACUUAGAAUUGUCUAUUUGAAGAGAACCUAGCUUCUUGUCAUCUUUUUAUAGUUGAUAAAAUGCUGGGCUCGCAUGGAUAUUUCCAUGAGAAUUCAGUAGAACCUUGAAAACUGCAUAGAUAAGAAAGAAUAAAGCAUCUCAUGGAUGCAUAAUUCUGUUUUUAUAAUUUAGCCUUAAAACUAAAUUAUUUAAUUCUAGAAUUCAUGUUUAAUUCUUGAGUAAAAGCCGAGCACAAUUGAUUUUGUGAUUGUAUUUAAGGUCAAGCUACAAAGGGCUCAUGGCGGAUACCUUGGCACACAGAGGCGAUGAA